rnacentral:piRNA from 1 species
UAGCCUCCAUUCAACCUCGGGUCUCUUUGAUG